rnacentral:rRNA from 1 species
UCCUACGGGGCGCAGCAGUGGGGGAUAUUGCACAAUGGGGGAAACCCUGAUGCAGCGACGCCGCGUGGGUGAAGAAGCGCCUCGGCGCGUAAAGCCCUGUCAGCAGGGAAGAAAAUGACGGUACCUGAAGAAGAAGCCCCGGCUAACUACGUGCCAGCAGCCGCGGUAAUACGUAGGGGGCAAGCGUUAUCCGGAUUUACUGGGUGUAAAGGGAGCGUAGACGGCUGCGCAAGUCUGAAGUGAAAGCCCGGGGCUCAACCCCGGGACUGCUUUGGAAACUGUGUAGCUAGAGUGCUGGAGAGGCA